CCUGUAAGGCAAGGUUGUACUUCGAACCGGGUCAGGUCUGGAAGGAAGCAGCCCUAAGAAUGCUGCAAUUUGUGCUUUACAUACAU
rnacentral:SRP_RNA from 1 species